rnacentral:rRNA from 1 species
UACGUAGGGGGCAAGCGUUGUUCGGAAUUACUGGGCGUAAAGGGCGCGUAGGCGGCAUGGCAAGUCAGGAGUGAAAGGCCUGGGCUCAACCGAGGAACUGCUUUUGAUACUGCCAAGCUAGAGUGCGGAAGGGGCAACUGGAAUUCCCAGUGUAGCGGUGAAAUGCGUAGAUAUUGGGAGGAACACCAAUUGCGAAGGCAGCUCGCUGGGACGUUACUGACGCUGAGACGCGAAAGCGUGGGGAGCAAACAGG